AGAGUUUGAUCCUGGCUCAGGAUGAACGCUGGCGGCGUGCCUAACACAUGCAAGUCGAGCGAUUUACUUCGGUAAAGAGCGGCGGACGGGUGAGUAACGCGUGGGUAACCUGCCCUGUACACACGGAUAACAUACCGAAAGGUAUGCUAAUACGAGAUAAUAUGCUUUUAUCGCAUGGUAGAAGUAUCAAAGCUUUUGCGGUACAAGAUGGGCCCGCGUCUGAUUAGCUAGUUGGUAAGGUAACGGCUUACCAAGGCGACGAUCAGUAGCCGACCUGAGAGGGUGAUCGGCCACAUUGGAACUGAGACACGGUCCAAACUCCUACGGGAGGCAGCAGUGGGGAAUAUUGCACAAUGGGCGAAAGCCUGAUGCAGCAACGCCGCGUGAGCGAUGAAGGCCUUCGGGUCGUAAAGCUCUGUCCUCAAGGAAGAUAAUGACGGUACUUGAGGAGGAAGCCCCGG
rnacentral:rRNA from 1 species